UACGUAGGGUGCAAGCGUUAAUCGGAAUUACUGGGCGUAAAGCGUGCGCAGGCGGUUUUGUAAGUCUGACGUGAAAUCCCCGGGCUCAACCUGGGAAUUGCGUUGGAGACUGCAAGGCUGGAGUCUGGCAGAGGGGGGUAGAAUUCCACGUGUAGCGGUGAAAUGCGUAGAGAUCGGGAGGAACAUCAGUGGCGAAGGCGGCCAUCUGGGACAACACUGACGCUGAAGCACGGAAGCGUGGGGAGCAAACAGG
rnacentral:rRNA from 1 species